AGCUGCGUCGUAGCUAAGGGGGCAACAGUCGCCGCUGCCCCACCUUGUCAUGCCGUUCACGGAGGCGAGGCGACCACCGCCACCGUAGGGCCCAGCGUCGCCUCCCACCUGCGCCGCCCUGCGCCGCUGCCACGUAGGCGACCGCCGCCGCCCACCUGCGUUCAAGGAGGCGAGGCGACCACCGCCACCGCAGAAGUUGAAUACAGGUCAGCAUGGAUUGGAAGCUCAAGCGAUCGAAGAGCGUUCCUAAGCUCAAGAACGGAUCGCCCACGAGUCCGACUAAAGAUGUUCUCGGUUGGGUGUCCUCUCUACUACUGAAGUUUUACCACCAUCUGGUGGUGUUUGAGAGCAGAGACGUCAUACUUUCAUCAGCAACGGCCAAAUCCCCAGCGCCGCCGAUGAUGUACAUCCUUGUACCCCUUGACUGUACCCCUUGACAUCCAGUACCUCGCGUCUGCUCAACUUGAACACCUCCUCAGUACGUACAUCUCUGAAUUUUGCCCUUGCUUGAGAAGGCCGAGCAUUGUUUUGUUGUAGCUAUAAUUUGAGUUUAGAAGAUAUACUCCUCUCUUUUUGACGUCAAUUUUUUCAGUUGA